GCCUUUUUGUAGAAGUGCACUACAGCCAGUAAAUUUUUUUUUCCAAAAAGAUCUGUUUCUUAAGGGGUUUUGUUUCAGCAAUCUAAUGCAGUGUCCAACAAAGCUUAGGGAAAUGUCUUCAUUUUUAGAUAUUUCUCUCUACUCCUUUCUCUCCUUCCUCUUUUUUUUUUUUUCUUUACCAUUGAUGAACUAUCUGCCUUAUUUCAGUUUUUUUUAGAUUGCCUGAAAUAUUUUCCACUGAAUUUUCUGUGUUGUCUGGGUUGUUGAUCAUGUGCAGAGGUAAAAAAGAGACCUUGCUCAGAAUCAAGUCUCAGACAUAGUAAAAGAUUGUUAUAAAAGUACCUCUAGCAUAUGUUAAAAGAAUUACCUUAUGUGAAAAAGUGUUGAGAUUUAUCACAUACUUUUCACACGUUACUAAAAUAGUUAACUUUUUACUCCUUAUUUUGCUUUUAUGCGUUCAUUCUUUUCCCUUCUCAUGUGAAAUUCCUCAUACAUAACCCAUCGCAUAUCAAUCCAUUUUUCAGAUAAUUUCUCUGGGUUGUUGACAUUAUUUUAAACUUGGUCUUUUAUUUAAAGAGCUUUCCAUUUGGUGUCAUCUAUUAAUUUUUGCCAAUGCACUGUCUGUAUUAUUUUUCACUAUAGUGAAAAUAAUGAAGAAUUUAAACUGUAGGACAUAUGAGAGAAUCCAUUCAACCUUCUUUCAGUAGAAAACAGAUUUUCUGUUCUCAGCUUUCUGUACAGCAGUUUUAACUAGAAUAUAUUUCUCCAGUUUUAUUAUGAAAAAGUCAUGUUGGUCUCUGUCAAAAGCCAUACCAUGUCACAUUGCAGCUUCCCACUCAUGUACUUAGCCAAUUAAUUUGUCAAAGAGUGAAAUUGUAUUGCGUGAGCACAAUUUGUUUUUGACAAAUACAUAUUAAAUGGUACUUAGUACCUUUUUGAUGCUAAUGAACUGAGGGAUUAUUUAAUAUUUUAUUCCAUCAUUCCUUGGGGUAUUGAGGCGUGUUUGAAUAGUCUCUAAUUCCUUAUCUACACCAUUUUCCUCCUUCAGAAUGAUUUUCUCUUUGCGUUUUUUUCCAGUCCUUUAGGAUCUCACUGUCUUCUAAGCAUUCUCAGAAAUACAUGCUGACAGAUUUGAGAUUGCUGUGGCUACUGCUGCAUUUUCAAUACUGUCACUUUGGAUUUGGACUUACAGACUCAGAUCUCCUUGUGGAAACCAUCUCAAAGUUUCCUGUCAAGAAUUGAGUAGUGUUGAUUCUUUUUCCUUACAAAAGAAAGAUGGUUCCAUCACCCAUUUUCUUUAUUAAAAUAUAAUAAUUCAGGGCACUUUGAAAAUAAAAGAAAAUUCAGUGCAGUCAGCAUACUGCAAGAUCUUUGUAUGGCAACUUGAACAACCAGCAAAAUCUUCUACUGGUUACAAUCGAGAUUAUCUGCAUCUAUCCUGAAGAUGUCCUCUAAUCUUAGUAGUCUCUUUGUUUUUAUGUCACCACAACUGGUGCUUUAAAGGCCAAUAAAGUUACUGGGAGAUGGUUCAGUGACUAAAAGCACUGUAGUUAUCUUACAAAAUGAAUCUGUAAAACGAACCUGAACUUUUCCAAAUACCCUAUUAAAACUGCUCUAUAGAUUAAAGGCUGUGUGAACCACUAUAAGGGAACAGUUACAUCAUGGCCUGGACUGAUGACUGAGCACCAGGUGAGCAGGAUGACUGGCCCAGGAAGCACAAGUGGAAGCAAUUCACCUGUUCUUACCACAUGACUGAAAGGAGUGGACUGACCUGUGAGUCUCACCAGUCUCACCUCGGGAAGAUCGUGGAACAGAUCCUCCUAGAAGCUAUGCUAAGGCACAUGGAAGGCAGGGAACUGAUAUGGAAGAACCAGCAUGGCUUCACCAGGGGCAAAUCCUGUUUAACCAAUCUGGUGGUCUUUUGUGAUAGUAUCAUUGCAUGAAUGGACAAGGGAAGGGCCAUUGAUAUCAUCUAUUUUGACUUUAAUAAGGCCUUUGACACAGUACCUCACAACACCCUUCUCUCCAUGUUGGAAAGAUAUGGAUUUGAUGGUUGGACUGUUUGAUGGAUGAAGAACUGGCUGCAGAAUCGAGUCCAGAGCAUGUCCACAGAAGAGCUACAGAAAUGAUCCAUGGAAUGGAACACCUUCGCUACGAGGACAGGCUUAGAGAGCUGGGGCUGUUCAGCCUGGAGAAGAGAAGGCUGCAAGGUGACCUGAUAGCAGCCUUUCAGUUUAUAAAGCUGAUAUCAAGCUAACUGCCUUAGAUGUAAUGGACUCUGCCAGCGGAUCAGAAAAUAAAAACAACGGAAGAGAAGAAAGAUGCCAAAUGUUUUUGAGGUACUCUCCAGCAGUGAAAUGAAUGAUUUUAGUCAAAUGUGCAUUGUGGAUGCUGGAUGGAUACGUCAGCCAGAUCUUUGGGCAUGUGAAUCUCUGUACAUCUACACAUCUCGCGUCUUCCCUUCUUCUUGCCUCAAGUUUGGAGUCCACUUUCAAGCUGCAACCUAACAUUCAUCCACUUCCUCAAUAGCCUUUCUCCAGCCUCUUUGGAAAAGCAGACCCUUUGUACAGUGAUUGAAACUGAACUUACAUCUCCCAGUCUUGUGUUUUAUAAGUGAAUGCCAUGAGCAAACAAAUCCUAAACUGAGGCUCAGACCAAGAAGACCUGGACUAUUAAAAUCUCUCAUUGUGGAAAUUCAGAAUUAGACACACAUCAUCUCUAGUACUGAACAAUCAGGACCUUCUAAGUAAGAUUAUGCUCAGAAUUUUAUUCAGACAUCUGGGGGAGAACAUCCUUUAACUACAUGUAACAUCUUUGGUUUUGAAUAAUAAGUCCUUUAAAGCAGGUACCGAGCAUAAAUUAUCAUCUAUUAUCAAACAUAAGUUUCUCUAUACCAGCUUUCAUAGUGCAUCUGUUAAAUAAAUGUCCAUUAUUGCUUCUUUUUAGUAGGUAAGCUUUAUAGUAUUUUCCUUUAGCUGAAAUCUAUAUUCAAAUUAAUUAAGUAUUUCAGAUGAAUAAAGGCUGAACAGUUAAAGAAAUCUACAAGCUUUCCAGGGAUUUUAAAUGCUUUUAAUGCAACUUCCUUUUGAAAGGAAGGAAGAAGAAAAGGAUCACCAAAUACUUGAAUAUUUGGAGAAAAAAAAAAAAAAAAAAAAAAAGGAAGAUGACAGGUGUAUGAGCAGAAAAAAAGUCUUGUACUGGAGAGUGCUGGGAGACAUAGAAAUUAUAGGUUUUGUUUGUCAAAGGAGAUAUUAAAAUUUCACCGUAUUUUUUUUAAUACAGGCUCAAAGUCAAUAGCUUUAAAGCAACUCUGAAAGUGAACUCUGGCUAUAGACAGUAUGUUGCUAUGGAAUGGUUUCCACUGCUCAUUAGAAAAAGUUUGUUGCUAUUGCUACAUAGUGUAUCAAAACUGAGUAACUAGUAGUGCUUAGUUCAUCAACAUACAAACUAAUAUGAAUAAAUGAAGGUCAUAUUAUUUCUUGCAAUUGUUUCCUUCAAGCAACAGUUAAGUCCUUCCUGGCUUUUAGGAGAGUACAGAAUUGUAAUUCAGAACAUAAACUUUUUCUUUGCCCUAAGUGUGACUAAAAUUGAAAAUAUUUGAUUUAUUUGUGUCUAUAUUAGUGUCCUGAAUCAGUAACUUGUGGGUAAUAUGUAAAGUAUUUUUCAGUGAGACUCACCACCAUGACUCAGUCAAAGGUAGUAGCCCUUCUUAUAGACCUUUGACAGAGGGAACAUGAUAUGGUGUUGUCCACAUCUGUUACUCAGUAUUGUUGUCCAGGGGCUACUAAAGGUGAGAGACUGUUAAGAUGAACAUUACAUUGAUUUAUUUUGUGCUGUUUUUUUCUUCUGAGAUAUACACAGUCAUUAAUUUCACCAUAAAUCAUCAAGUAUUAGAAUGUUGUAGACUUUUAUACCAAAUUAUAUCUGCUCUAGUAGUAAUCAGAUUAAUUGGAAUGUAAAAGCAAUGUAUAAUCUGGACAGGCUAUAAAGAAUGCUCUGUGAGAUUUGUAUACACAUUUCAGAACACUGCUGACACACAGUUUUUCCUUUCUGCACAAAUUGGUAACUGCACUUAUUAAACUUCUCUGGAAACUUAAUAUACCUCAGGAUGUAUGAGUGAGUGGAGUACAAAAGGGAGAAGAACAGAACAGUACCAUUGCGCAAAGAAGAUCUCCUAGUAUUCUGGAAGAGUUAUAAGUAUGUGUGUGAAGGACAUUUGGGAACAAAACAACCUUGGUUACCAUUUUCACUCUCAUGCAGGCACUUGCAGAUGAGCAAGACUGAUGAGCAUGGAAACAGUGGUGAGCUAGAAUGACAAGGUGUUAAUAAAUGUCUCAAAGUUUGCUCUUUAAAGGUCAGAAACUUUCUGACAUUAAAACAUUGAAGGACUGAAAAGUAGUGUAACACAUGCUAUAAAUCUUCUAGCAGAAGCCUUCAGAAAGCCAUAAAAAGAUCAGUGUUACAACAUACGUAUGAUUGAAUUUCAAUGAAUUAUAAUUUUAUAGCAGCUAUGACGUGAAAUCUCUUUCAUCUUCUGAAAGUGAAGGUUCAGAGUCAUACAGUAUGUUACAUUGUCUUGAUGUUUGUUUAGAAUUCAGAAUACAGCAAAGGAAAGCAGAAGAAAUAAAAGAGACUACUACAAGUUACGUGAGGAAAGAGAACAACCAUUGUUUGAUUAUACAUACAUACUUAAUUGGAAUGAAAAAAUCCUCAACUUGGUAAUGUAUUUCAUUCUGUUAGCCUUGUAGUUGUUUCAUAUUUGACAAAAAUAAAGAAUACAUCUGAAGUUUUUAAAGCUAGAAGAAAAUAUGAUUGCAUUUUUUCGUGUGUGACUGGUUUUGAUUUCAUCUUACAGUUUGUUGGUUCACAAUGCAGCAACAAAACUUUAAACAGAGGAAACUGUGUUCCAAAAGAAAACUCUGUAUCCUCCGAAAAAACACUUGGUGAAUACUCCUAUGUAUGUCUCUAUGGCUGUAACUUCAGUGAAACUUACAGCUGGGAACCUUUACACUCAUGGUAAAUACAUGAGCUACUGUUGCUCAAUUGCUGCACUACAGGGAAGAAGAGAGUUUCUUUACAUGAUGCUAUUCCACACAAAAUGGGCAUACCAGCUCAGGUGAGACAUGCCUUCAAAGUGCACUGUAUGCGUCCCUUGUCAAAAAGAAAUUUUAUGUUAAGAUGUGAUAUGUGAGAGAAAAUAUGAUUUAGUGGUAACCAUUACAGUUAAAGGUAACCUGAUCUUCAUCCAGCAGUUGUCAACUCUGCCCACAGCAGGGGGUGUGGGACUGGAUGAUCUUUCAAAUCCUUCCAACCGAAGCCAUUCUAUCAUUCUAUGAUAGUCUUGAGACAGACUUGUGCGAUUAGGCUCAUGUGAGGAAAAAGAGCUGGUUGGACGUUGGCUUCACAGAUACAGGAGGUUUAGGCCUUUGUGGUUUCAGACUUGAGAUGAUUUGAAGAGAGGCUUAGCCUAAAUCACUGACAUAGUAUUUGCAUAGUUAUUCAUUGGUUUCAUUGCAUGAAUACCUGGGUCAAAACAGAACACUCGGAAGUGUCUUUGUUUUUUUUUCCUCUCUCAAGACUCAGCAAAAUAUUUCAAAAACUGUUCCAUAAAACAAAUGAGAAAAGGUGCAUUUCUACCAGAACAAUAAUAAAUUUUGCCUUUUCUGGACAGAAUGACAUUUUGAUUUUGAAUAGGGAAGCUGGAAUGAGUGAAGGCCUGUGGUCAGAAAAAUAACUAAAAAUCAUCAAUGUCUGCAAUAGCCUCUGCUCAGUCAUAGCAAACAUGAAAUAUCCUUGAGUGGAAAGUCAAAUUUCCUGAAAUGAACAAUCUACAGCAAUCACAAAAAGGGUUGCUACAUCCCCAGCUUAAUCACAGCUAGAGGCAACAGCAAAAAUGACUGAAAGUGUGUCUGUCCACUCAUGAUUGCAGCUAGAAAAAUGCAUUGCAGUAGAGCUGUAAGGUGAGUGUGGGAGCAAGUACACACUAUGUUUACAUUCCAUUUGAGAACCUCUUGUGCUUCUCUGUAAGCAGGAGGGGAAUAAACAACAGUUUUUUCAGAUACCAAUACCAAUUUUAUUUGCUUCUUAUCAGUGAACCCAAACCUGCAAAAGCUUAACAUGCAUUGGGCAGUACGUGUGGGAAUCUGAGACACUGUCAUAUCUUCUGAGCCUUGCAUCAUUUAACUAAGGAAUCAGCAUUUUACUAAAUAUUCCUUAGAGAAAACCUGACAGUUUUAAAAGACAUGAUGCUAGAAGCCCCACUACUUAAGUCACAUGAGAGUUGCCAUAUAUAAUCACCAUGAAGUGCUCAGCUUGAAACAUCUGCUUAUAAUAAAAAUGAAUAGAUUAAAGAAAAUCAUAGACCCACACAUUUACUGGGCUUUAUAGAUGCAGGGGGUAAAUUUUAUGAAUCAGAUCAUCAGGACAUUCCAGCUAUUUCUGGUUGUCUGAAAAUCUUAUUAACAGCGUAUAACACCUUGCCUAUCACUUUUAUUUUUCUAAGUAAGGGCAGGUUGUGACAAAGUGUUGUGUAAAAAUGACCCCUUCUUAUUCAAUAGAUUUGGUUCUCUGUUUAGAUCAUCUAUAUAUAUUAGGUGGGAUGAGUUUGUAAUAAUCCAUUUGCUCCAGGCAGCACAAUUUGCUAAGGCAGUAAAAUCGUGCAAGCUGGAUUUUAUCCCCGCUCACACCUCAUCAGCAGAUUGUUUCCUGCAGCCUAGUUCCUGGACGAGUGUUAAAUGUGAGCAAAUCCACUGAGAGCAAUCAAAAUGCACAGGUAUUACUCAAGGCAGUAAAGGAAAACAAUCAGCCAGCCCAGAUCACUGACAUUGGCUCUUAGCCUUAUGUGACCUGUAUUAUUCAGUCAGUAUAUAGAGAAUAGUCAUAUUGACCUUCGAAGACCACCAGUGACUUUUGAAGGCCAGUAUUUAGUAAAAGAUGCAAUUAGGUUCAUUUUCUAAAAUAAAAUAAAAUGUCUGCAAUUACCAGGGACAAAAGAUAUGGAUACUCACAAUGAUACUUUUACCAGACACUUUAUGUUAUGAUUCUACAUUAGUUUGGAAUGAUAAUUUCUAAAGAGAAUUUUAUUGAGUUUUCUGUCAAGUUACUGUUUCAGAGCCUCAGCUGUGUGAAUUGGCACAUCUCAUUUGAAGUUGGCAGCAUACCCAAUGGACAUAUUCAUCCAUGUUGUGAGCCGAUUACAAAUAUGAAUUUGGUCUGGUAUGAUGCUGCAGUUUUGGGGGGAAAUAGUUUAGAGCAUAACUACAAGUUUUCAAUCAGGUUGGAUAUUCACAAAGUCUUAUUAGAAGGUAUUUUGGUGAUAUCUAUUUAUGAGUAAUCAACUCUAGUAAGAAACAAAGAAAUGGAUUUCAUUGUAUCAUAUGUUUCAUAUGGAUUUCUUUUCUUUAAAGAGCCUAAUUCAUAAUGCUAUAAGCAACCUUGGUAUACAAAGUGAAAAAAAGUCAGAAAUCAAAUGCAAGGAAGAAUAUAAACACAGCAGCACUGAUUCAUCUGUUUACAGAGAAAAAAAUUCUUCAGGUAAGAUGGUUGUCAAAAGAUAAAAAGGAUUUGAUUAAAAUAUGUUACUAAACUAGUUUGAGUUUUACAUUUUUUAAGGUAUUUUAAAUUAGUAGAUUUACAUGUUCAUUUUACCUUUUUUCCUUUUUUUUUUUUUUUUUUUUUUUUUUAAUGCAUUUUUAACAAGCUUUUGCAAUAUACACGUUCCUCUCAGGUAAAAUUAUUCCCAUGUGUUUCAUUUCACUAAAGUGAGAGAUACAAUUUUAUGGUAAACUAACUAAUUUAGCCAUUUCGUUUGCUAUCUAUGAGCCCAUAAAUGCACCCAGUGUUCUCUCUGCCCCAUUUCUUGUUAAUACACAUGCCAGAUGCAUUAUCUCACUUUUGGUUCCAUUGUAAUGAGGAACAGGAUGGAUUUUUGAAAUUCUCAUUUUCAUCCAUGUUGCAGUCCGGGAACACUAGAAAUCUCUUUCCAUUUAAUUUUUUUUGUAAUCUGAUUUAUACCCAUUUUUUUGGAAACAACUUCUGCAGUACUCAGGAUUGCAAGAUAGAUCUCAAAGUAUUAAUUAUCCAAUCAACACUUUAAACAAAAUUAAACUGGCAACAUGAAUCUCAAGUAAUUUCAUGUGAGAAAUAGAGGGAUUUCACUAUGGAAUUAGAGGGGCAUUUGUUGGUCAAUGUAUGAUCAAUACUAGGAAAUUCUUAAGAGGAAAUACUAGCUCUCUUCUUUUUUUUUCUUUUUUUUUCCUAUCAACUAACAUUUGCCAAUGAUUCUUGAAAACCUGGCUCUGUUCACAUGCAGUGCUUCUGUAUUCCUCCACGGGUUGUCCUGCACAGAGAUCUCAUUACUUUCUGCUAUGCCUGCAAAUCUGGAGAUGGAGAAUAUUCAGAUUUGCUACUGCCAGUCAAACACUUAGAUUUUUGAGUUUGAUAUUGAAUUAGACACUACUUUCUCCUCUUCUGUGCUUUUAAUUGCCCACACUCCCUUUCUGACUUGCCAGUACUGCAGAAAUUGGGUUAUACUUUGCAGUUUGCAGUGUUGUACACAUAAAAGCAGACAAGGGAAGAUGAACUUGAGAACUGGAAAGCUCAGGCUUUCCGGUUAAAUUUUAUACCCAUAAACAACUUUUUUUACAGUUGCACCAUGGUAAAAAAUGAGCAGAUAGGAACUUCCUUUGCCCGUGUUUCAAUUUGGUAUUGGAGGCAUGACAUCUGUAAUAUUACUGGGCCGAGCCUUUGUAAAGUUAAUAUACUUCCUAGCAGACCAUUUGUGUAAUGUGUAUUUAUCACACAGGUUUGAGCUCUCCUUGGGAGGAUCCGUGGGCUUCCCAUUACAAUUCAGAUUUAAGAAUACGGAUUAAAAAAAAAAAAUGACUGAGACAUUUUUAGUGUGUACAUUUUAAUAUUUUUUGGAUGUUUCAAAGUACUUGUACAGAAAGAACUUGUAUCUUUGGCUUCAUUUGGGUCAUUUAUCUGCUGAACUCUACUGAGAGGGGUAAGGGUAAUUGUAUUUUUGCUUAGGGAAUUUUUAUCAAAUCACUGAAAAUUUCUGUCCUGGCUAGCACUGUAAAUAACAGUCAGAAAGCAAAAAAAGUUUAAGUAGGCAGUAAAUUGACCUCCACCUUUUUCUAUAGGAAAAGGAAUCGUUUUGCUGUGUUUCCCUUAUGCAUGGCUGCUCUGCUUCCUGCUAUUCUCUUUUUCCACUGCUGUGAUAAUAAGGUGGAUGCUGGAAACACACUUCAGUGAUCCACGUCUUGUCAAGGUCAGUUCUCACUGUUAACAACAGGGGCUGGAGUUUGCAUUGCCAUUUAUGACUGGGUUUUUGAGAUCAAUGAUAAAGUGAGGAGUUCUUCAUUUCCACUUGUAAAACCACCAGAACCACCAAUAAAAAGGAUGGUCUGUGGGAAGAGCAUAUCUUACGUCUUUAGGAUUUCUUUCUCUGUUGUCAUGAAUGCAGAGGUGGCUGAUGGCCAUGGCUGAUGUGCAUCACUGAUGAAAACCAGUUGCUGGUGCAUGUCCCCACUUCGUGAAGCACAGCCUGUUGCUUUUGCGUGCACUGACAACUAGCUGUCAGCUGUUUUCUGAGCUGGUCUACAGUGGCCAUUUCUCCAACUGUCUGUUGUUGUGAGGAUGUGCUCAUUUCCACAGCAACCUGCUCUCUCUUUUGAUGUCUGUGUGGGCAGGCAUCAGAUCAGAAAAUUCCCUGUGUGAGUUGGAUUUCUAUUUCUCCUUUUAAUGCAUUUUAAUGCAUUUCAAAGCAAGGAUUUACACUGGUUGCCAGCAAAGUUUUUCUGUAAGGAAUUGUGUUUGUCUCCGCCAAAGUCAUGUAUAUGAGUAUGACAGAAAUUAUCAUCCUGAGUAAAGUUAUAAAUUGUGUUACAUAACCCCUUGGGGAAAAAAAAAGCAAGCAAGAGCUAAAGCAGCACUUACAUUUAUGAGCAGUAUUUCAUGGAAUUAGUUCCAUUUUGGCUCUAAUGCCUCUCUGACACAGAUGCUUAAUCUAUCCUUUAUUUUCAAGAAUGCUGUGCUAAAGUUGUCCAGUAAUUCCCACUUCAAAUCCACCAGCACACCACCCCCCAGUCCUUAAGCUAAAUUUGUUCAUAAAUCAUUCAUUUCAAAUGCUGUAAAGAAUUAGCUGAGAUUUUGUUGGUUUGUUUGUUUUUGGGAAGUGGGGGAUGUUCUGUAGUAGUUCUAGUUGUUCUGUAGAGGCAGAGGUGUAGUCAUCCUUUUUCCAAUAGCUGAUGUGUCUUUUCUAUAGGAAGAAAGCAUUGUCCAAAUCAAUUUGGCUAAUUCAUAAAAUUCAAUAAGGUGCCUGUGCAUGCCAUUCUAUUUCUCUGUACAGGGUGAGCAAUGCAUGGAUUUCUUUGCCUCCCUUGGAGGUGUUGGUCAGCUGAAACUCUCUACUUUUGUAUUCAGUAAUGGAUAACUCUUAAUAGAUUUCUUAUUCUAACUCAGUAUUGGCAGAAGGGAACUAAACAUUGCCAAAAAUAUAUCCGCUAUUGAGGAUAGCUCUCUAGGAUGUUCUUCAUUUGAACACUGAAGUCAAGGGGAUAGGAUUGGUCAUGAAGAAACAGGAUUUGCAGUAUUUUUAAACAUCCUCCCCCCUCCCUUUUUUUUUCUCCUUCAUACUUCUGGGAUUAUUGUUUUUUGAGUCAAAUAUGUAAAAGGACAUCUGUAUUUUUGCUUUACCUACAAUUUUUUAUUGUUAUUUACAAGUAGCUGCAAAAUGUGUGCUUUUUUUCCCCUUGAGUGUUUGAAAUAUUUGCAAUGCUUUCAGCCAAAUAUUAAAUUAAUGAAAUAUUGAAGAUUAAUUUUAAGAUAUGGAAUGCUUUUACUGAUAAUACACAGCACAACAGGUGCUGGCACUGCACAUGUAAUUAGCAAAUUAUUAAAAAAACAGUAGUGCAGGCAUUUUUAUUAUUAUACUUAAUGAAAAACUUCGUUUUUUAUUAACAUUUGAGGCUGCUGUUUAUAAUUCCUCAGAAAAUGAAAUACGUCUUUAUUUAGAGCAAAUGUACUGCUGCCUAUUUAACACAACAUCAUUCUACAGCAAUUUUCAUGAAAAUCGCUGAAUGCUGGUAGAUGUGGUGAGUACUGUUUGAGAGUUGUUUUGUUCAUUCUUUUUCCAUUACUGCUUGUAGCAACUGGCAUUAAUUUUGUAGUGCUUCUGUUGAUCUUUCUACAUACUGUACUACUAAUACCCAUUGCAGGAAGAAAGAAGGAACAAAAACCCAGGGCAAAGUAUGGUUACUACUUCAAUACAGGGACAGCUGAUAAAACAAGCACGUCUGCAAAACUCAAUUUUGCGUGUAAAGUAUCCUAGAAGGAGAAACACUCAUGAAUUUCUCACUUGCAACAGGCAGCGGCUGAAAAGAAUAUACAGACCAGACAAGUAGAAGCUCCAUACAUCAUCUAGUUCCUGAAGUACAAACAAGGUGGCUGUGCUAAAUGAUUAGAACACACACGGACUAGACUAUCCUAUGCACAGCAGCACUUUGUAGCUUUUAACUUCAUUGGUGCCUUGCUCAGGAUUUUGUCUUUUGCAGCAAGGAGUGGAGUUUUUUGCUUUGCUUUACUUUGCUUUGCAUGUGUGUUCUUUGUUCCUAUUAAUGCUCAUCACCAAUAUCUCAGCAUCCUGCAGUAAUGCUUUAUGUGUCCUCACACCAAGCAAGUCAGGGAAUGACCUGCAAAGACUUCUACAUCAGCUCCGGGAAUGAAAUUCCCUUGCAAAUAACAGACACAAAUCUGUACGCUAGAGGAAAGAUUCUUCAAGGUGGGGCUAAUGAAGAAUGACAUGACAUACAAGGCAAGGGUUUCUAUGCCUAAGGUGUAGAUAGCAGAAUAACAAUGUCUCUGGAAAUCUACAUCUUGCAGAUUUUGUUAAUCCCACGUUCAUAAUUCAAGUGUAUGUUUGAGCCAGAGCCAGAGCCACAACCUGAAACUGCUUCCUACAAUUCAAGUGAAGCCUUUACUACAGGACCUAGUACACUCCUUGAGCCUCAGCACACACCUUUAACAGUCAGGUGUUGACUAAUUGAGUCCCAGACUCCCUCUCUCUUUUUGAGCCAAAGUACCUUUGUGCUGCACCUGGGCAGGGGGGCAGAAUCUGUGGGAAGUGACUGUAGCUUAGACAGGGUGCUUUCCUGGGCAAUGAGACCCCUCAUGUUCCUCAGGCUCAGAGUUGCAUCUAUCACCUCACGGUUGAAUGAUCUAACUGCUAGACUUAGUCUCUAGGAGGGGUCAGAUACCACUGCUAGCUCUGAGUGGAGGUGGAUGUUGCUGUGAGCUCUCUGCUGUGAUCAUUGUUCUUGACAAGUUUUAAAGGUGUAUUGUGUGCUUCUUGUUCUGGAUCUCGAGGUUACAGCUAUGUAGGAUAACUCAGCCAGGUCUUGAUAUGUGCCAAGCACUUUACAUGCCAAAGUCACUCCAGUAGGGAAAAUUUACAUCGUUUGCUAAAAUGUUAGAUGUUUGUUAGGAGUUUUUUUAAACUGAUUGAUAGCUAGUCACAGCAGUGUAACCCAGAGCACUGAACUAGUCAGUACAGAAGAGCGCAGCUGAAUGGACAAGAGGGACAUGCAGCAAACUCCAGCUCACUGAUCAGCAGACAACAGUUGCCUUGGUUGUCUCUUAGGUAAUGAGUGA